rnacentral:rRNA from 1 species
UACGUAGGGAGCAAGCGUUGUCCGGAAUCAUUGGGCGUAAAGCGCGCGUAGGUGGCCCGAUAAGUCCGCUCUGAAAGUCACAGGCUCAACCUGUGAAAGCGGGUGGAUACUGUCGGGCUAGAGUCCGGAAGAGGCGAGUGGAAUUCCUGGUGUAGCGGUGGAAUGCGCAGAUAUCAGGAGGAACACCAACGGCGAAGGCAGCUCGCUGGGACGGUACUGACACUGAGGCGCGAAAGCCAGGGGAGCAAACGGG